rnacentral:rRNA from 1 species
UACAGAGGGGGCAAGCGUUGUUCGGAAUUACUGGGCGUAAAGGGCGCGUAGGCGGCCUGUUAAGUCGAACGUGAAAUCCCUCGGCUUAACCGAGGAACUGCCCUCCAACUGCGUUGCUUGAGGCCGGGAGAGGUGAGUGGAAUUCCCAGUGUAGCGGUGAAAUGCGUAGAUAUUGGGAGGAACACCAGUGGCGAAGGCGGCUCACUGGACCGGUUCUGACGCUGAGGCGCGAAAGCGUGGGGAGCAAACGGG